UACGUAGGCAGCGAGCGUUGUUCGGAUUUACUGGGCGUAAAGGGCUCGUAGGCGGCCAACUAAGUCAUACGUGAAAUCCCUCGGCUUAACCGGGGAACUGCGUCUGAUACUGGAUGGCUUGAGUUCGGGAGAGGGAUGCGGAAUUCCAGGUGUAGCAGUGAAAUGCGUAGAGAUCGUGAGGAAGACCCGUGGCGAAGGCGGAUCUCUGGACGGCUAAAACUGACGCUGAGGCGCGAAGGCCAGGGGAGCAAACGGG
rnacentral:rRNA from 1 species